UUAAAGUAUUGUAUAAAGACUCAGAAUACUGGUUUAAAAAAGGGUUUUGGUUGGUCCUGCGGCGGGCGCACGAGAGCCGUGCGUGAGCAGCGGCCGACGGCGUCACCCCCUGAAGGAGGCGGCGGCGGCCCGCCGAGGCAACAGAGGUAUGGUAGACAUUGGGUUGGAGGUCGGGCCCCGAAGGACCCUUUCUCGUUAAUGAUCCCUCCGCAGGUUCACCUACGGAGA
rnacentral:misc_RNA from 1 species